GGAGAACAUAUACAGUCAAUGCCAUUUCACUCCAUAAUACAUUGCAGGAGGAAAGAUACCUCUUUGCUAGGUUAGCAUCCAACUAUCGCUGCAUACUGGAAAGUUUAUCAGGAGUUAACUGCUGAUGGGAAGACAGUCUUCUACAAGAGCCAAGGAGCUGGCUUCCACAGAGAACUGGAUGGAACAGUGAAUUACUCAGAUAACAAUGCCACGGCGCUCAAGACAACUGACUGGAUGAGCCGAGAACUGUAGGAAUACUGGAAACUGCAGCCUUCGAAAGCAUCCUGACCUCAAAAUGGUUUUGGACCAUCUUUCUGGGGCGCUAACCAGUCUGGGUCAUCUUUUUUUUUUUUUUUUUUUUUAAUUCCUCCUAGAUGCUACCAAUUCCAACAAAGACAGAGAUGAAACCUUUGCCAUUUCAAUAGGAAAGAGAUGUCGAGUCAUCUGACCACAGUCCGAUAUGGGCCCUGGACAAACCAGACAGCAAGCCCACAGAGUUGCCUGCCUUGAACACGUGGAGGAAACACCUCCCAUUGCUGCCAAAGCAUCGGCUGCAAGCUCAUCCUAAAGGCUCCAGUGGCCAUUAGAACUGAGAGGAUCCUUUGCCUCAAGCGGACCCAGAAGUAAUGGAGGCAGCCAGCAUGGACUGAAAUCAUUGUGGAGCAAGACAGAAGAAAUGCUUCCUCCCAUAAAUCACCAGUGGAUAUUAGACAUAUACUAUAAGAUAAGCAUACUAAAAGCUGUACACCUAAAGAAACUAACCAGGAAGGAGGAUUCUAGCUAAGAUGUUCAAUUCCUAUCCAGAAAGGCAAAGAGGAUGGACAUGAGAAGAGGGAGAAAACAGGGAACAGGACAGAAGCCUACCACAGAGGGCCUCUACCCUGCAGAGUAUCAAAGCAGAUGCUGAGACUUAUAGCCAAACUUCGGGCAGAGUGCAGGGAAUCUUAUGAAAGAAGUGUGGCGGGGGUUGGGGGGGAAUAGAAAGACCUGGAAAGGACAGAAGCUCCACAAGGAGAGCAACAGAACAAAAAAUCUGGACACAGGAGUCUUUUCUGAGACUGAUACUCCAACCAAGGAUCAUUCAUAGAGAUAACCUAGAACCCCUGCAUAGAUGUAGCCCAUGGCAGUUCAGUGUCCAAGUGGAUACCUUAGUAAUGGGAACAGGGACUGUCUCUGACAUGAACUGAUUGGCCUGCUCUUUGAUCACCUCCCCCUGAGGGGGGAGCAGCCUUACCAGGCCACAGAAGAUGACA